rnacentral:rRNA from 1 species
UGGGGAAUUUUGGACAAUGGGCGCAAGCCUGAUCCAGCCAUGCCGCGUGCGGGAAGAAGGCCUUCGGGUUGUAAACCGCUUUUGUCAGGGAAGAAACGCUCUGGGCUAAUACCCUGGGGUAAUGACGGUACCUGAAGAAUAAGCACCAGCUAACUACGUGCCAGCAGCCGCGGUAAUACGUAGGGUGCAAGCGUUAAUCGGAAUUACUGGGCGUAAAGCGUGCGCAGGCGGUUAUGCAAGACAGAUGUGAAAUCCCCGGGCUCAACCUGGGAACUGCAUUUGUGACUGUAUAGCUAGAGUACGGUAGAGCGGGCUGGCAAGGCGCAU